ACAGGCUGCCUGGGUUUGGGAGGAGGUGAGAAGAUGUGCCCUAGGAAGCUGCAUAGCCUGAUUUGAGGUCUUGUGAAGGACAGCAAGGAGCAGCUCACCUCCAGCCAGGAGCAGGCGAGGAGCUGACAAACGCCUGUGGCCGUGCUGGGAAAAGGCUCCCCGAGGAAAUACCGAUAAGCAGCAGGGAUGCUGCACUUCUGGGCAUCCCCGUGAUGGCCCAAAGCAGCUGUUUUGGGCAGGAAGGAUCCUGAUUCCACCCCGCAGCCCCAGGCCACCCGAGCUUAUAGGUGCUGCCUGACCGCGUGCACGGGGCCAGCCCCCGCCGAUAGCAUCGGGGGCAAACCGACUGCGGGGAGCACUCAGAGCAGUGCCAACAUGAACUUGCUGCUGCAAUGUGUCUGCAGCCCUGCUGGUGCAGGGACCCGCUGGAGGUGGCACCUCAGCUGCUGGUCCCUAACACGUCCUGCCGUGCACCUGGAGCUGUCCCUUUAUUUUGGAGGUGGAUGGGAAGCUGAGUGAUGCUGGUAACAGCUCGGCCAUCCAAGGAGAGGCUGUCCAAGGUGUUUUUCCUGGGACAACGCAACCUGGUGUCCCGUCCGUGCGCCGUAGCCCCAACCCAGGGCUCAGUGAUACCCAGCUGAAACCCCAGCCCCUUUAAACCACGGACCCAGGCAGAUUUCCCUCGCGGGGUGAGCGGCUCCAGUUUCAUCGCUAAUGGGUUUCCCAGGAUUUGCAGAUGUGAAUUGCUCGCAUUCCUGACUCCAAGGUGAGCGCAGGUGCAUCGGACGGUCCCCGCGAGUCCUCCCCACCUCCCGGGCGAGCGCACAGAGCCGCUAUUGUGCGGUGAGGAGCAUCGCCUCCUCCGUGCCCCUGGGGUGCUCGGGGUGCUGCUGCCUGGGUGGCGUGGUCGCCUUCUCAAGGUCCCUGCUCCUUCUCCUGCAGGGGAGCAGCAGCUUUUGCAAGUGAGAGUCAAACCCCAACCUGCCCCUCGGGCUCUUCAUCAGGGGUCCAAGGGAAAGCGGCCGCGGGUUCAAGCCGCCCUCCUUGAGCUCGCUCUGCUCAGACUGCAGGACUAUUUAACACGCUUCAGCUUCUUAUAAAGUUU